GACGAACGCUGGCGGCGUGCUUAACACAUGCAAGUCGUAUGGUAAGGCCCUUUCGGGGGUACACGAGUGGCGAACGGGUGAGUAACACGUGAGUAACCUGCCCACAACUUUGGGAUAACGCUAGGAAACUGGUGCUAAUACUGGAUAUGUGCUCCUGCUGCAUGGUGGGGGUUGGAAAGCUCCGGCGGUUGUGGAUGGACUCGCGGCCUAUCAGCUUGUUGGUGGGGUAGUGGCCUACCAAGGCGGCGACGGGUAGCCGGCCUGAGGGGGUGACCGGCCACAUUGGGACUGAGAUACGGCCCAGACUCCUACGGGAGGCAGCAGUGGGGAAUAUUGCACAAUGGGCGCAAGCCUGAUGCAGCAACGCCGCGUGCGGGAUGACGGCCUUCGGGUUGUAAACCGCUUUCAGCAGGGACGAAGCUUUUUGUGACGGUACCUGCAGAAGAAGCACCGGCUAACUACGUG
rnacentral:rRNA from 1 species